AACCUUACCAAAAACAUGACUUACAAAUUUCGUCAAACAUGAUUUAACAAAAUCUUUCUACUAAAUGCCAAAUUAGAUUCUCCUCCAAAAUCAAUUGCUCCUCUCCCAUUCAGGAAGAACCCUAAUUUCAUCUCAACCAAGCAUCUUCCCAAAAUCAAUUGAUCCCCAACGUUCACCUGAAGAACCCUAAUCCCCAAAAUGGAUUCGCGAAGUAUGGGAACAAAGAAUCAACCAUUGUUCUCGGUUGCAAUCCCAACUUCGACUCAAGCACCCCAACCUGCAAAAUCGAAUAGAAAGUAUGUGAACAAACAAUUGGCCCUUCGUCUAUGUCGUGAUCCCCAAAUUCAGCUCAAGAAUCCUAACCCUGAUCGAAUUGCGAAGUAUGUGAGCCAAAAAUCCGCAAUUGUUCUACACACUUGAAGGCAUACACAUGGACGGUUCUGAUGAAGGUAAUUCCGCCAUUUUAGUGGACUUAGUGGAAUAAUUUUUUCUGCCUCUGUUUUGGAAAUUUAGAUACAUUACCUCAUUUUAGCUUAGUUUAAUUUAAUAAUGUUGGAAAUGGUGUUUAUUAAUAAACCAAUUCAAAAAUGAAUGAGAAAUUGUGGUUUUGGAAUAGUGGCACCUGUUUGGAAGGUUGCCCCUUGGAUGACUUUGAGAGUACACCAUUUGCAUAUUGAGCAUUCAUUCUUCUCAAAAUUGCAAUUCUCUUCUUCUUCAUCUCUUUUCAUAUAUUAUAUUCCUUGUAGAGGGGAAACUCCGUCGAAAGUUCGCCGGAUUUGUGGUUUGAAGUGCUACUACCACAAAUCGAAUCCGUUGUAUCUUGGGAGACAAUUGCCGCCAACCGUGAGCACCGUAGCGGGGCAAUAUUGUCUUAAGGAGAGAGUGAAUACACUUGCCUCGAAUUUAAUCUUCGUUUUCUACUCCUUCUUAUUUUAAUUUUCUUAUUUGGUUUUAUGGUUUUGUACUACAUUUCCAUUUCAUAAAUUUGUGAUUUAAAAUGCACUCACAAACAACCAUCUUUACCGCUCACAAAUAAGCCAGGCACCAACAAUCUUAAGACAAUAUUUUAUCAAUGGUUGUUUGGCGUUCUAAUCAAGUUUUGUUUGUUGUGCAGUUUAUAUUUUAGUUCUUGUUGGAAUAUGAUUCUAGAAAAUCAGUGUGUUGGUUUCUCUAUUGCCGAUGGAAGACCAUGAUGAAACUAUAAGCCACUUUAAGAANCAAAGUGCUUUCUGCAGAGUUGGAAGAGGUUAAGAUAAUCUUUUAAUGAUUCCUAUAUCUUGAUUAAGUCAAGUGGAGUAGGGCAGAAUACUCUUUAUAGGAGGUCACCUAUGUAAGUGUGAAGUGGGGCCGCUUCAAUGAGAAUUAUUAAAAGGCUUAAAUUCUCAAAACACUUGCAGAACCAAGAAGGGUUCAAGGCCAAAAUGAACCAAGUCAUGAGAACAACGACGGAAUAGGGAAGACAUCUGUGUGAGUAUUGUUGUCUUGGCUUACACCAAAGGCUGAAUGGUUCAAGACAUCACGUUCACCAAUUAGCCGAGUAAGUCCGAUAGUAUUUCACUAAGGGAGGUUCAAAGCCAGAAGCUACCUUACCUGAUGCAGUGUUUUUCCGCUUACUCUCUACAAUGCAUAAUGCAUCAUCAUUGCAUUGCAUGAUACUUAUGUACUCGAAUUUUCAUUCAUGUGGGGGAUUGUUGGAAAUGGUGUUUAUUAAUAAACCAAUUCAAAAAUGAAUGAGAAAUUGUGGUUUUGGAAUAGUGGCACCUGUUUGGAAGGUUGCCCCUUGGAUGACUUUGAGAGUACACCAUUUGCAUAUUGAGCAUUCAUUCUUCUCAAAAUUGCAAUUCUCUUCUUCUUCAUCUCUUUUCAUAUAUUAUAUUCCUUGUAGAGGGAAAACUCCGUCGAAAGUUCGCCGGAUUUGUGGUUUGAAGUGCUACUACCACAAAUCGAAUCCGUUGUAUCUUGGGAGACAAUUGCCGCCAACCGUGAGCACCGUAGCGGGGCAAUAUUGUCUUAAGGAGAGAGUGAAUACACUUGCCUCGAAUUUAAUCUUCGUUUUCUACUCCUUCUUAUUUUAAUUUUCUUAUUUGGUUUUAUGGUUUUGUACUAUAUUUCCAUUUCAUAAAUUUGUGAUUUAAAAUGCACUCACAAACAACCAUCUUUACCGCUCACAAAUAAGCCAGGCACCAACAAAUAAUAAUUGAUUUCUAGGUUCUUAUUUUUGUGCUUUUUUUUUUUUUUAAUUACGGAAUAACACGACCCUAAAAAAUAUUGAAGUUGUGUGAUAACUCAAUUGGAAAAGUUUCUGCAAUGUUGAAUUGAUGUGAAACCAAGCACUUAACGUUGAAUCUGUCUUUAAUAGAAAAUGCAUGAUUUUUGGUUGUGUUUUUGAUAAAGUUGAGUCUCCUGUUAACAAUUUUUACAUUUACCACCUUAAAUGUGAGACGGUGAAAUAGCAGUACAUUUUGAAUGUUAAAGUUGAAUAUUUUCUUCUUCAUAUAUUACUGUCCAAAUGUUAAUGAGCUGUAAUUUUAUGACAGAAUUAACUAUGCCGGAUGAGAUUAGAUGUUUCUAAGCUCGAUGAACUCUUAAUGCCACGCUUACAACUUCAUAGUGCUAUUCACAAAGUUGGAUUAAGCACGUUGUUGAUUUUCGUUUGGAAAUUUUGUGCCAGAGUAGGAACAAACAGCUCAUCCAUUAAUUAUUGCCCUCAUACCUUCAAGUUCCUAGAUGUUAAUUAUGAGCAGUAAGCAUAAAUGUUGGUGUGUGUAUUGCCAAUUCAUUACGAUAAAUAUAUGACUGUCUUACUGUACGUGGCUGUAAUGGCAAGGAAGAAUAUGUGCAAUUUGAGGGUGAGUCCAGUGGUGAAAACCAAUGUGUUUGUUCGGGUAACUCUCAGCCCGAAGUUCCAAUUGAAGAUUUGUCUUGUGUAUUGAAGGAUUCACAUAACCGAACGAGAGGAAGUGGAAAUCUCAUUCAAUGUUACUAUCCGCAAGGGUAAAGGUCGUGUAGAAAAGAACGGGAAAUAGAAGGGAAGAGCUCCGUGAAAUUAGACCGCCUAUGUUGUUGAUUAAAGAAAUGUUAUAAUAUUCAUCAAGUUGGACCAAUGUUAUUGUAUUCGUAAAGUUUUUUAAUUAUGCAGUUUGAAUUGAUUUUGUUGACCUGGGAUCUUACCAUUGUUGGGGAGAUUGAAUGGAUUUGAUUUGAUAUUUUACCAUGCGUAUGUAUGUUUGUUGAUGUUGUUAGUUUCAUUCAUCAAGAUAUUAUUGAAUCAUUUGAAGAUAAUUACAG
rnacentral:lncRNA from 1 species